rnacentral:rRNA from 1 species
UACGUAGGGUGCUAGCGUUAAUCGGAAUUACUGGGCGUAAAGCGUGCGCAGGCGGCUUUGCAAGACAGAUGUGAAAUCCCCGGGCUCAACCUGGGAACUGCAUUUGUGACUGCUUGGCUUGAGUGCGGCAGAGGGGGAUGGAAUUCCGCGUGUAGCAGUGAAAUGCGUAGAUAUGCGGAGGAACACCGAUGGCGAAGGCAAUCCCCUGGGCCUGCACUGACGCUCAUGCACGAAAGCGUGGGGAGCAAACAGG